rnacentral:tRNA from 1 species
GCCGGCGUAGCUCAACGGUAGAGCACCGGUUUUGUAAACCGGUGGUUGUGGGUUCAAGUCCCGCCGCCGGCUCCA